AAAAUGAUUGGAAUAUGAUUGUAGAAAAAGUGUGUAGAAUGUAUAAAAGUACUUCAAAUUUAUCUUGUAAAUGGAUACCAUGAAGGGUCAUUUUAUCAUACCCAGUGGACUUGUAGAAAAAGCCAAACAAAUUAUGACUUAUAAUUUGUUAUGACUUAUCUCUAAACAUUUCUCUGAUGUUAUAAGUUUAAGGAUCAUACUGGGGUGUUUUUUCCCCUUUUACUUAGAAGAAAUAUGAUAAUUAUGUCACAUUACCUUUUUGUGGGGGUUCUUUCACAGCGGUGGAUGUCUGAAAAAUUUAUUCUUGAGGGCUUACGGGAAUUGGAACUCUUUGGAGACCAAUGAAGCAAGUUCAGAGUCAAUAGCAU
rnacentral:lncRNA from 1 species